rnacentral:misc_RNA from 1 species
GUAAUACAGGGUACCGCUAGUGAAGCUGUUCUAGUUGUACUACUAGCUGCUCGAGACAAGGUCUUGAGGAGGGUUGGAAAAGAUUCCCUUAAAAAGCUUGUGGCUUAUGGAUCUGCACAUUCAGCUUUGCAAAAGGCCUGCCAGAUAGCAGGGGUUCAUCCGGAAAAUUGCAGGCUGCUAAAAACAGACUCGUCCAGAAGUUAUGCCAUUUCCC